UACGGGGGGGGCAAGCGUUGUUCGGAAUUACUGGGCGUAAAGGGCGCGUAGGCGGACAGUUAAGUCAGGGGUGAAAUCCUGGAGCUCAACUCCAGAACUGCCUUUGAUACUGGCGAUCUCGAGUCCGGGAGAGGUGAGUGGAACUGCGAGUGUAGAGGUGAAAUUCGUAGAUAUUCGCAAGAACACCAGUGGCGAAGGCGGCUCACUGGCCCGGUACUGACGCUGAGACGCGAAAGCGUGGGGAGCGAACAGG
rnacentral:rRNA from 1 species